rnacentral:rRNA from 1 species
UACGGGGGGAGCAAGCGUUGUUCGGAUUUACUGGGCGUAAAGGGCGCGUAGGCGGCCACCGCAAGUCGGUUGUGAAAUCUCCGGGCUUAACCCGGAAAGGUCAAUCGAUACUGCGGGGCUAGAGUGCAGAAGGGGCAACUGGAAUUCUCGGUGUAGCGGUGAAAUGCGUAGAUAUCGAGAGGAACACCUGCGGCGAAGGCGGGUUGCUGGGCUGACACUGACGCUGAAGCACGAAAGCUAGGGGAGCGAACGGG